rnacentral:rRNA from 1 species
GACGAACGCUGGCGGCGUGCUUAACACAUGCAAGUCGAACGGAAAGGCCCUGCUUUUGUGGGGGGCUCGAGUGGCGAACGGGUGAGUAACACGUGAGUAACCUGCCCUUGACUUUGGGAUAACUUCAGGAAACUGGGGCUAAUACCGGAUAGGAGCUCCUGCUGCAUGGUGGGGGUUUGAAAGUUUCGGCGGUUGGGGAUGGACUCGCGGCUUAUCAGCUUGUUGGUGGGGUAGUGGCUUACCAAGGCUUUGACGGGUAGCCGGCCUGAGAGGGUGACCGGCCACAUUGGGACUGAGAUACGGCCCAGACUCCUACGGGAGGCAGCAGUGGGGAAUAUUGCACAAUGGGCGGAAGCCUGAUGCAGCAACGCCGCGUGCGGGAUGACGGCCUUCGGGUUGUAAACCGCUUUCGCCUGUGACGAAGCGUGAGUGACGGUAAUGGGUAAAGAAGCACCGGCUAACUACGUG